rnacentral:rRNA from 1 species
AUUGAACGCUGGCGGCAGGCCUAACACAUGCAAGUCGAGCGAGCGGCGGACGGGUGAGUAAUGUAUGGGGAUCUGCCUGAUAGAGGGGGAUAACUACUGGAAACGGUGGCUAAUACCGCAUACUAGCGGCUGAACCCAGAGGGGAUUAGCUAGUAGGUGGGGUAAAGGCUCACCUAGGCGACGAUCUCUAGCUGUACUGAGAGGAUGAACAGCCAAACUUGGACGGAGACACGGCCCAGACUCCUACGGGAGGCAGCAUUGGGGAAUAUUGCACAAUGGGCUCAAGCCUGAUGCAGCCAUGCCGCGUGUAUGAAGAAGGCCUUAGGGUUGUAAAGUACUUUCAGCGGAGAGGCGUUACCCGCAGAAGAAGCACCGGCUAACUCCGUGCCAGCAGCCGCGGUAAUAC